AUGCCCUAGAGAUGAAUACGGUUCCCGAGAUUGAAUUCAUCCUUUUCAGUCUAUCAGCUGGAUCAUUUUUGUAUUCCAAGCUGAUCAUAUGGGGAUGAGACAUAA